GCCAUCAUACCCUGCCUAAGCAGACUACUUUCAAAUUCUGCCUCAGUUUCAAGUCUCAAUUUCAUCAUUUGUAAAAUGGGGAUAAUACAUACUUCACAACAUCGUUGGGAAGAUCGAGUGAGCUAAUGCAUAUAAAAUAUUCAACAGGCCAGGCACAGUGGCUCACGUGUGUAAUCCCAGCACUUUGGGAGGCCGAGGUGGGUGGAUCACCUGAGAUCAGGAGUUCGAGACCAGCCUGACCAACGUGGAGAAACCCCGUCUCUACUAAAAACACAAAAAAUUAGACAGGCAUGGUGGCGCAUGCCUGUAAUCCCAGCUACUCUGGAGGCUGAGGCAGGAGAAUCGCUUGAACCUGGGAGGCAGAGGUUGCAGUGAGCCAAGAUUGCACCAUUGCACAUAACAAAAGCGAAACUCCAUCUCAAAAAAAAAAAUGCAUUCAACGUGACACGUAGUAAGCACUCAAAUAUUAGCUAUAAAUAGAGAUUGGAAGAAUAAGUUGGUGCUGAUUUUGGAAGCUACAUAUUAGUCAAAGAGUUUGAACUUUAUUCUAAAGUUUGAGCUAUUUAAUGCCUUAAGCAUGAGAGUGACUUACAUCACAUCUGUUUACCAGUGUGCCGGCAAGGUAGGGAAAAUAAGGGAAGGAAACUUUCUGUAAAGUGGCGCUACUUCUUUGUGGGAGAGUGAAGGAGAUAUUCUCCCCUUGUUGUCCUCCCGCCUUCCCUUCUGCCUGAAGGCCUUUUAAUUCCUGCCUUUUUCAGAAAGGAGACUCAUCUCUCCUGUCUGGUACUUGGGUUGUUUGAGGAUGAGAUGUCUGGACUGCCCGAUGUUACGGGAAUCUCUUCAUGUCGUAUUCCUUUCACCCACCCUGUGAAAUGGAAACCAAAACUCCUGAGUGUCUACUAAUAGAAACUUUGCUCUUAACAGAUUGUUAAAAGUCCUAAAUGGAUAAGGUCCCUGCCUCCAUUUUAAGCUCUUAAUUAUGUGCUAAUUCUGUGCUGGGAGUCUCAUAUACAGCAAGCUUGUCCAACCUGUGGCCCAGGACAGCUUUGAAUGCAGCCUAACACACAUUCAUAAACUUUCUUGAAACAUGAUUAGAUUUGUCUGCAAUUUUUUUCUUAAGCUCAUCGGCUGUCGUUAGUGUAUUUUAUGUGUGCCCCAAGACAGUUACUCCAAUGUGGCCCAGGGAAGCCAAAAGAUUGGACACCUCUGAAUUAUACAGUAUCUCAUUUAACUCUCACAAACAACCCUGUGAAGCAAUGAUUAUCCGUGGCAUACAGAGUGAGAAAUGUAUGUCUAGAAGUUGAGAUAACCAGAGUCCAAGAGAUGGAGAUUAGACUGAAGUCUUUAUGCUCCUCCUCAGCUGCUGGUCUUCUCUGUACCUAGGGUGGCCACAUGAUCAGCUUACACCGAAGUAGUUCCUGGCUUUGGUGUAUAGGACUGGUACCCCUGGCUUGGUUUCCAGAUUCCUGAAGUUAAAAAACUUGGAUUCUGGGCCGGGUGCGGGGGCCCACGCCUGUAAUCCCAGCACUUUGGGAGGUCAAGGAUCAUGAGGUCAGGAGUUUGAGACCACCCUGGCCAACAUGGUGAAACCCCACCUCUACUAAAAAUACAAAAAUUAGUUGGACGUGGUGUUGCACAUCUGUAAUCCCAGCUCCUUGGGAGGCGGAGGCAGGGGAAUUGCUUGAACCUGGGAGGCGGAGGUUAUGGUGAGCCGCAGUCGCACCAUUGCACUCCAGCCUAGGCGACAAGAACAAGACUCCAUCUCAAAAAAAAAAAAAAAAGACUUGGAUCCUUAUGAGCCCUCCCCUCUUCUCUUCAGACCCACAUGUACCUCCUGCUCCCUGGAUUAAUAGUCGUUGCAUGUUUAAAGCUAGCAACAUCUGAUGAAUAUUUAAUAGCAUCAAGCAGACAGGCUGCAAACAGCUGUCUGAGACAGCAGCUGCUUAGGGGGAGGGGAGGAAGUGCACAGCACUGCCUUAACUACCCGUUCUUUUGUUCCCUGGCCUAGAAAAUAGACCUGGCUUUUCAAGGCCCCUUAGGAGCAUAAGCCUAUGGGGGCACUGCACCCUAGUCCUAUUGUAGCCUGAUUGCUGCCCUCGGCUCCUAAGGAGGCUGCCUUCAAGCAGGAGACUCAACCCUUUUUGGGAGGUAAUGGGGAAGAAUGUUCACUGACCUCUAGAAUCCAUUUUCCAGUCCCAGGGCUGGAGGUCUUCUACUCUAUUGUCUAUUCUGGCUCUGAAGCUGAGGAUGCAGUCUCAUCUAGUGUUCUGCAAACUGCAGCUCACACUCUCUGGUUUUUUUUUGUUUGUUUAUUUUGAAUGUAAUUUCUGCUUUCGUGUACAGCUCUCUCUCCUUUUAGGAGAGAGACGUGUAUCUGAAAGGGAUGUGAAUUUCAUAGCUGUGCUGCUGAGGUUUAGCUUCUUGGUAUACCGUGAUCACAGAUUCCCUAGCCUCUCACCAGUGACCAUACUUCUCAUUCCUAGCCGGUACUGUGGUGAUUGUAUUUGCAUCUCAGGCAGGGAAUGGGCUGAUAGGAGUUCUCAUGUACACAAGCUAACCCCAUCCUUAGACCUUGGGGAGCUUCUUGCUUCAAGGAGGCCUUGUCACUUUCAGGGCAAAUUGGGGGUGGAGGGGGGUCGUCCAGGGACUCAUUAAAAAAGACAGCUUAGUUGAGAUGUUUCUAGAUAGAGUGUGAGGCACAGCCAGUCUAUCAGCCCAGAUUAAUCAGCUAAAAAGGGCACCUUGCCAGAAAUUUGGGUACUAUUUCUGAUCUUAAUAUUGCAUUAAGAUGCCUGAAUUGACUGUUCCCUUGUCAAACUCAGGGUAGCCAGUCUCUUUCUUCUAGGCACCGUGAUGUGUGUGAAAACUUGAGAUAGAAGAGUUUGGGUUCAGAUACAGGGCUAAUUAUUCCCAGGGGUCUUCUAACUCCAGCAGCCUUCAUGGUUCCUAUUCAUGGCCUAGCUUUAGGUAUAAGAUGGUUGCUCCUCAGGUCUCAGGCUCUGGGGUUGGAAUGUAGCAAACACAUUCUGCAUCUGCCUUUGAGAAAGAGAAAUAUCUUAUUCUCUGAUGUGAUUAUUUUUAAGCUUCUCUCCAGAAAUCAGUACAGAUGUCUCCUUUCAUUCUUUUUAAAAAUACAUUCACUAUUAUACAUUAAACACCUACUAUGUGCUAGACACUGGGGAUCCAGUGGCUGGUGAACAAUAUAAAAUGGUCCCUGGCUUCGUGGAGUUUAUAGUCUAUUUGUGGAAAUAGACGUUAAACAAAUAAUCUCAUAAAUAACAAAUAAUUUCAAUUGUGUAAAGUUCUACAAAGAAAAGAACGGUGCGAUGAGGGUACUGUGGUUUUCCUUGAGGAAAUGAUGUUUAAGCCAACAUCUGAAAGAAGACUUAGCUAGGCAGAGGGCUUGGGGAAAGGACACAGAGCAGCACUUUAUAGGCAGAGGAUAGGACUGAAGCAAGUUGAAGCCAAGGUAAGAAUCUGGACCUUUUUUAUUUUUAUUUUUGAGACAGGUCUUGUUCUGUCAUCCAGGCUGGAGCACAGUAUCAAGAUGAUGGCUCAUUACACCCUCGACUUCCCAGGCUCAAGUGAUCCUCCACCUCAGCCUCCCAAGUAACUGGGACUACAGGCAGCUAUCAGAGGACUCGGAAACCUGGAGAGCUACCUGCUGUAUAAAGGCUGGCCUGAGGGCAUUUGCUGAACACAGAGAAACCCAGGAGAGGAGAUCAGCAGUUUUCUUUCACUCUACUUGAUCUGUCAGAUUUACCCAGAGAAAGCCAGUCAGGAUCCCUUAAGAGUCUUUAGGCCCAGAAUGGAGUCCUCAGGGCUGCAGGGGACUGUGGUGCUAACAAUUAAACUGUUCAAGACUUUAAAGAGUUGAAGGGGACUAAUGGGUAUCCCUAGCAUGGCCUCCUAGAUGGGAAUGAACUGGCAACUCCGACUGUGCCAUUCCCAGUCUAUGUGGUUCCCUUUAGCCUCCCAGAGAAUUGGCUGAAACACCCUACGACCGUUUUGUUUCCCCACUACCACACCUGCGUUACGGGUAUCAGCCUGUGAGUCCUUGAACCCUUCCAGAGGGCUCCCAAACGAGGGUGAUCACUGCCCCUCCAUUGAAGACUGAGGAAAGCCAAGUGAGAAGAUUGUUUAUUUGGGCAAGUUAUUUAACAUCUGAACCUGUUUUUCUCUUCAUUGUUUAUUAUUUACCUUGUCCAAAAAGGUCAUAAAGGGUAGUAGGGCUUUUUCUGUUCCACCUCUGUACUAUAUUUCUCCCCAGCAAGUAUCUGCCCCUGAGGAGCUCAAUAAAGGUUUGGUCAAGUGAUGAA